rnacentral:rRNA from 2 species
GCUGAUGCGUUGUUGGGUAGGGGAGCGUUCUGUAAGCCUGUGAAGGUGGCCUGUGAGGGUUGCUGGAGGUAUCAGAAGUGCGAAUGCUGACAUAAGUAACGAUAAAGCGGGUGAAAAGCCCGCUCGCCGGAAGACCAAGGGUUCCUGUCCAACGUUAAUCGGGGCAGGGUGAGUCGACCCCUAAGGCGAGGCCGAAAGGCGUAGUCGAUGGGAAACGGGUUAAUAUUCCCGUACUUGGUGUUACUGCGAAGGGGGGACGGAGAAGGCUAUGUUGGCCGGGCGACGGUUGUCCCGGUUUAAGCGUGUAGGUGUGUGUUCCAGGUAAAUCCGGUU